ACUGUGGGGGAUAAGCUCCAUUGUCAAGAGGGAAACAGCCCAGAGCACCAGUUAAGGCCCUUAAAUAAUUACUAAGUGGUAAAGGAGGUGGGAGUGCAUAAACAAUCAGGAGGUUUGCUUAGAAGCAGCAAUCCUUUAAAGAGUGCGUAAUAGCUCACUGAUCGAGUAAACCUGCGCCGAAAAUGUAUGGGACUAAGUAAUUUGCCGAAACUGUGCGAUAUAUAUUUAUAUAUCGGUAGGGGAGCGUUCUGUUGUAGGUCGAAGUAUUAGCGUAAGCGGAUAUGGACGAAGCAGAAGUGAGAAUGUCGGCUUGAGUAACGAAAAUAUAGGUGGGAAUCCUAUACCCCGAAAACCCAAGGUUUCCUCCGGAAGGCUCGUCCGCGGAGGGUAAGUCAGGACCUAAGGCGAGGCUGAAAAGCGUAGUCGAUGGACAACGGGUUAAUAUUCCCGUACCAUUUUUUAUUGAUAACGAGGGACGGAGAAGGCUAAGCUAGCCGGAUAUUGGUUACCGGUUUAAACGUUCGAGAUGUUGAGAAGCGGCGAAAACGCUUUGAGUUGAGACGUGAGUACGAGACGCUAAGGCGUUGAAGUGGUGUAUGUCAUACUUCCAAGAAAAGCUUGCACUGUCAUAAAUAAAAAAUGCCUGUACCAUAACCGACACAGGUGGGUAGGUAGAGUAUACUAAGGGGCGCGAGAUAACUCUCUCUAAGGAACUCGGCAAAAUGACUCCGUAACUUCGGGAGAAGGAGUGCCUUAUUCGUAAGGCUGCAAUAACAAGAUCCAAGCAACUGUUUAUCAAAAACACAGGUCUCCGCUAAGUCGUAAGACGAUGUAUGGGGGCUGACGCCUGCCCAGUGCCAGAAGGUUAAAGAAGUUGGUUAGCAUUAGCGAAGCUGAUAACUGAAGCCCUGGUGAACGGCGGCCGUAACUAUAACGGUCCUAAGGUAGCGAAAUUCCUUGUCGGGUAAGUUCCGACCCGCACGAAAGGCGUAAUGAUUUGGAUACUGUCUCGGAGAGGGGCUCGGUGAAAUAGACUUGUCUGUGAAGAUGCGGACUACCUGCACCAGGACAGAAAGACCCUAUGAAGCUUUACUGUAACUUGAAAUUGAAAUUGGACUUUAUUCGCGCAGUAUAGGUGGGAGGCGUUGAAAAUAAUCUUGCGGGAAUAUUGGAGCCAUCAGUGAGAUACCACUCUUGUAAUGUUAGAUUUCUAACUUUGAAUCAUUAUCUGGUCAAAGAACAGUUUCAGGCGGGCAGUUUGACUGGGGCGGUCGCCUCCCAAAUGGUAACGGAGGCGUACAAAGGUUUCCUCUGAACGGGUAGAAAUCGUAUCUAGAGUGUAAAGGCAUAAGGAAGCUUGACUGUGAGACCUACAAGUCGAGCAGGGACGAAAGUCGGUCUUAGUGAUCUGACGGUACUGAGUGGAAAGGCCGUCACUCAACGGAUAAAAGUUACUCUAGGGAUAACAGGCUGAUCUCCCCCAAGAGUUCA
rnacentral:rRNA from 1 species